UACGUAGGGGGCAAGCGUUGUCCGGAUUUAUUGGGCGUAAAGAGCGUGUAGGCGGCCAGGUAGGUCUGGUGUGAAAACUCGAGGCUUAACCUCGAGAUGUCAUCGGAAACCAUCUGGCUAGAGUCCGGAAGAGGAGAGUGGAAUUCCUGGUGUAGCGGUGAAAUGCGCAGAUAUCAGGAAGAACACCAAUGGCGAAAGCAGCUCUCUGGGCCGAUACUGACGCUGAGGAGCGAAAGCGUGGGGGAGCGAACAGG
rnacentral:rRNA from 1 species